rnacentral:lncRNA from 1 species
UCAAUUAACCUAUCCAAACAUGAAGUUGGAAGCCGUAAGAGCUGUGACUUGGACCAGAAAGAAAACUAAGCAAUAUCCAAAUGAAGCUUUGUGAACUGAUUACUUUGCAUAUAAAAUAACUAAAUGAGGAUCUCUGGCAUCUAUCAUCCAUUUUGAUCGCUUUCUUUGUUCCCAUUUCCUCUUUCCAAAAAAAUGAGGAA